rnacentral:tRNA from 1 species
GCUCGUGUGGUGGAAUUGGCAGACACCAGGGACUUAAAAUCCCUUGUUGGAAACAGCGUGCGGGUUCAAAUCCCGCCAUGAGCACCA